CCUACGGGAGGCAGCAGUGAGGAAUAUUGGUCAAUGGGGGCAACCCUGAACCAGCCAAGUAGCGUGCAGGAUGACGGCCCUCUGAGUUGUAAACUGCUUUUCUGCGGGAAUAAACUGCGUUACGUGUGGCUUAUUGCAUGUACCGCAUGAAUCAGGACCGGCUAAUUCCGUGCCAGCAGCCGCGGUAAUACGGAAGGUCCGGGCGUUAGCCGGAUUUAUUGGGUUUAAAGGGAGCGUAGGCCGCCCCUUACGCGUGUGGUGAAAUGCCGCGGCUCAACCGGGGCACUGCAGCGCUAACUGGGGGGCUUGAGUGCGCUGGAGGUAGGCGGAAUUCGCGGUGUAGCGGUGAAAUGCGUAGAGAUCACGAAGAACUCCGAUUGCGAAGGCAGCCUACUGUAGCGUAACUGACGCUGAGGCUCGAAGGCGUGGGUAGCGAACAGGAUUAGAUACCCGUGUAGUC
rnacentral:rRNA from 1 species